AGCCUUGAGGCUGCGGUGAAUCUUGUGUUUAGUGGGUGUCGUACCUUUUGCAUCAUGAUUCCUUGAAGGAGUUCGGUUAGUCUGGUGUCUCGAAAGACGGUGAUUCGGGUUUGCCUUGUUUUUAGAACUUAGGGGUUGGUGGGCAACCAAAGUUGAAAGGUAGGUCCGGAGGUGACACGCAUUACGUACCGUCUCAUAGCUAGUUGCCGGAGUCGAGUUUUCAAACUAUGGCCCCGUUGCUUGGAUGUGGCGGGGUUGUCAAGAGGGCUUUUUGGGUCGAUGAGUUGGCUAGGUUAGAGGUACCUUGUUUUAGCUUCGUGUUAUGACGAUUGACUCGGAUUGUUUGGGCUUUUUGGUUUAGUGCUCCGGGCUUAGGCGUAACGGUCUGUUUUCAAGUGUGGGGUAAUGAGUAGUUUGAAUGGCUUCCUUUUUUCUCGGAGAUCUCCGGUCUGUUUCUCAAAAACAUUUCCAUCAGGAAGGUUUGAUGGUAGUGCCUGCCCGAUGUUUGCAAUAAAUGGCCGCAGUAUCUUGACUGUGCUAAGGUAGCAUAAUCAGUUGCCUUGUAAUUGAAGGAUUGUUUGAACGGUUUGACCAGGGGGGUGUGUCUAGAUGGGGGCCAUCUCUGAAAUUAGGUGGCUGGUGCAGAUCCCAGCGAUUUUUAAUCAGACGGAAAGACCCCGAGAGCUUUGGCAGUUUUGUGCUUACUUGGGGCAAGGGCAAAUGUUUCACAUGCUUUUGGAUCCUUUGGGAAAAAGUUUUAGUUACCUCGGGGAUAACUAGGUAAGAGGCGAGGAGAGGUCUCAUCGAUUCGUCUGUUUGCCAUCUCGAUGUUGACUUAGGGUUAGGAUGGGGGUGCAGGAGCUUCCAUGUCUGGGUCUGUUCGACCGUUGUUCCCUUCAUGAGUUGAGUUAAGACCGGCGUGAGCCAGGUCGGUUCUUAUCUUUUGUUGCUGCGAUUUCGUACGAAAGGAUCACUCGCAGUUUAGGUU
rnacentral:rRNA from 1 species